UCUUUAUAAUUUUUAAUAUAUAAAUUUAUAUUAAAAAUUAUUUAAUUGGGGUGAUUUAAAAAUUAAAAUAACUUUUUACUUUCUUAAACAAAAAUUUUUGAUUAAUUGAUCCUAUUUUAUAGAUUAAUAGAUUAAGU
rnacentral:rRNA from 1 species